rnacentral:lncRNA from 1 species
GUGUCCUGGGCUGUGACCCCAAAGUCGCUGGGUGAGUGGCAAAGCUGUCAACUGGUUUCAUGCUUUGUGUGGCAAUGGUUUGUCCUGGCUCUGAUCCCAGGGCAUUCUACUCCCCUUGAGUUUAACUGAUCAACUAAGCAGGAAACUCUACACUGUGGGGGAGGAUAACAUUUAACGCAGAAUAACUGUGGUUCUCGGGAUUUUCAAAUACGCGUAUUUGCUGUAUGUGUGCCCCGAUGCACGUGUGGAGGUCAGAUGACAACUUGUGGGAAGUGGUUGUCUAAUUCUACCACGUGGGUUCCAGGGAUCGAGCCCAGGGUGUCAGGCUUGGCAGCUGAGUUAUCUCACUGGCCUGGGCAUUACCAUUUAAAGCCAUCAAAAUUUUAUCUCCCAGGGGAGGUGAACUUCACAGCUACCGCAGAAGCCUUGCAGUCUCCAGAAUUGUGUGGCAAUAAGUUGACAGAAGUGCCAGCCCUUGUACACAAGGACACUGUGGUGAAGUCCGUAAUAGUUGAGGUGUGUGAGCACUGAGUCUAACGUUUGACAUCAUGUUUGUAAUCUGGGUGACUGUAUCGCAUUUCCAAGUUUGUGUAUAGGCCUACAGAUCAAUUAUUUUUAAUACUUAAAAGUGACUGUUCUGGGGCCUUUUUUUACUUCUAUGUGAUGUGUCUUGUAUGUGACGUGUUUUUUUUAUUUGCAUGUGACAUACCAUUUUACCUUUUUUUUUUAACUUUCAAUGCUAAGCCUGAAGGAAUUGAGAAGGAGCAAACGUACAACACACUGUUAUGCCCACAAGGUAAGUGUAACAAAACAAAAUUCUCAGAUUAAGCCAUGUACUAGAAUUUCUAACUGUGGGAAAAAAAAACAAUCUCUGGGAUAUGGAUUACUCUGAAGAAAAAAAUAAAAACUUGUAUGCUCUUUCCUUGCAAAUCUAAAGAUAUCUCAUGGAGAGAAGCCCUUUCUUGGUUGAAAAUCUCCCAGGGUGGCCUCAUUUUCCCCAGGGUAAUAAGGACAAGCACUAUUGAGAAUUAUCAUUAUUGUUGUUAUGAUCAUCAUAGUUUAAGGAUAAAGAAAAGGCGUGGUGAAAGACAUUGCCAGAAUGUUCCUGCUUAGUGGUGGGAAUUAAAACCCUUCACUGGGACAGGAUUCCUUCUAAUAUAUCAUGUCCUCCUUCUCAGACUCUGUUGAGGAUGUUGAAGGAUCUGUGUGGCACUGGUCUGCUGCACUGUUACAUGAAUAAUUUAAAUCCAUACUUGUGCUUUGAUUGACAGUAUCUCUAGAGCACCGUCACAGACGCCAAAACACUAUUUGACUGACACUGUUAGUGUGAUCAUAUAAAAAUCUCCAUCUAAAAAGUUGUGCACCAUCUAGAAUGUUCCUCAAGGUGAGGCUUUGUCUACAAGUCUGUUCCCUGUAGAGAUGCCCUCCAACUCACAAAUCCAUCACAAAUUGGAAUAGUAGGAGUCAAAAUACGUUUACCACACCUAGAAAGAUGAGUCUGCUGGCCAGCAAACCUGAGGGCUUCCCCUGUCUCUGCCUCCCCAGAGCUGAGAUGACAAAUAUACACUACCAUGCCUGGUUCCCUCCCCCCUCCCCCCCACCAUGGGUUCUGAGGACCAAACUCAGGACCUCGGGGUGAACAUUCUCCUGACUAAGCUACCUUCCCAGCCCUAGGAAAUGCUUUAAUGUCAGCUAGGUCCCAGAUCCACACAUCAUUGGUACACAUCUCCUUUCUGGUCUCAGCCUCAGCUGCACUUACAGGCUUGCAGGUCUAACAAACACCUCAGAAGCACCCUGCUGGCAGAGGGAAGCUUUGCUAGCCUCACAGCCUCUGCUACCUCAUACUGUGGUCAUUUCAGUCAUUUACAUGUCAAGU